AUGAACGCUGGCGGUAUGCUUAACACAUGCAAGUCGAACGGACUCUUCGGAGUUAGUGGCGGACGGGUGAGUAACGCGUGAGAAUCUGGCUUUGGGUUCGGGACAACCACUGGAAACGGUGGCUAAUACCGGAUGUGCCGAGAGGUAAAAGAGAAAUUGCCUGAAGAUGAGCUCGCGUCUGAUUAGCUAGAUGGUGAGGUAAAGGCUCACCAAGGCAGCGAUCAGUAGCUGGUCUGAGAGGAUGACCAGCCACACUGGGACUGAGACACGGCCCAGACUCCUACGGGAGGCAGCAGUGGGGAAUUUUCCGCAAUGGGCGAAAGCCUGACGGAGCAAUACCGCGUGAGGGAAGAAGGCUCUUGGGUUGUAAACCUCUUUUCUUAGGGAAGAACAAAAGGACGGUACCUAAGGAAUCAGCAUCGGCUAACUCCGU
rnacentral:rRNA from 1 species